AAUCUAUGAUGUGGGCAUCUUUGGAUUAGCAUUUUAAAACACUCUCAAGCUUCAUGAAAACUUUCUCAUUCUAACUGUUUAAAGGUUGCGAUCUCACUCCUUAGUUG
rnacentral:snoRNA from 1 species